GUGCCAUGGCGGCGUGCUUACCAUGCAGUCGAGCGGUAAGGCCCUUCGGGGUACACGAGCGGCGAACGGGUGAGUAACACGUGAGCAACCUGCCCCUGACUCUGGGAUAAGCGGUGGAAACGCCGUCUAAUACCGGAUACGACCCACCACCUCAUGGUGGAGGGUGGAAAGUUUUAUCGGUCAGGGAUGGGCUCGCGGCCUAUCAGCUUGUUGGUGGGGUAACGGCCUACCAAGGCGAUUACGGGUAGCCGGCCUGAGAGGGCGACCGGCCACACUGGGACUGAGACACGGCCCAGACUCCUGCGGGAGGCAGCAGUGGGGAAUAUUGCACAAUGGGCGAAAGCCUGAUGCAGCGACGCCGCGUGGGGGAUGACGGCCUUCGGGUUGUAAACCUCUUUUACCACCAACGCAGGCUCCACGUUCUCGUGGGGUUGACGGUAGGUGGGGAAUAAGGACCGGCUAACUACGUGCCAGCAGCCGCGGUAAUACGUAGGGUCCGAGCGUUGUCCGGAAUUAUUGGGCGUAAAGAGCUCGUAGGCGGCAUGUCGCGUCUGCUGUGAAAGACCGGGGCUUAACUCCGGUUCUGCAGUGGAUACGGGCAUGCUAGAGGUAGGUAGGGGAGACUGGAAUUCCUGGUGUAGCGGUGAAAUGCGCAGAUAUCAGGAGGAACACCGGUGGCGAAGGCGGGUCUCUGGGCCUUACCUGACGCUGAGGAGCGAAAGCAUGGGGAGCGAACAGGAUUAGAUACCCUGGUAGUCCAUGCCGUAAACGUUGGGCGCUAGGUGUGGGGACUUUCCACGGUUUCCGCGCCGUAGCUAACGCAUUAAGCGCCCCGCCUGGGGGAGUACG
rnacentral:rRNA from 1 species